UCCCAACAUGUAACCUUGACUGGACUGGAACUCACUCUGUAGACCAGGCUGGCUUCAAACUCAAAGAUCCACCUGCCCCUGCUGGGUGCUGGGACUAAAGGCCUGCACCACACGCCUGACUGGUGAAUUGUCUUCUAAUUCUAAAUCUGGUACUAAGUGCUCUAAGAAAGCUCAAGAGGCUCACUGGUGUUGUGGUGGCCCAGGGCGUCAGUAGUGCCGUGACCUCCAGCAAGCGUAUGGCCUGGCAGUGGAGACUGACUAACCCUAAGUUUCCCCUCGUUGAUGUGCUCAUAGAUCGCGUCUGCGCCCUGAUCCAAGGCACGCUCGAAGAACAGGGCGCCCACUGCGAUGGUGAGGGCGAAGGUGGAAGUUCUGCGGAACAGCAAGGAGUACAGACGCGAAGGGAUCGUCGGCAACGACAUGUUGCCUCACUGCCGAACUCGCGCCACUGCCAGAUGUAUUUCUUUAUGUUCCGGUGCCACAUGCAUGCCUGGUACCUGAGGAUGACAGAAGAGGACAUCAGGUCCCCUGGAACUUGAGUUGCAAUUCUGGAAAAGGGUCCCACCCCUGCCAAAGAGCGGCAGAAAACGAGAAACGGCGCUUCCUGAUAUUCUCCCUGGCCCUUGUAUCCUGUCUUCAAGCCUAAGGCCAAACAGCUCUGGGUCUCCCCAGACUGUCGCCACCCCCGUCUCACCCUCAUACCUAGCACAUCCCCAAAGGGUCUCUGAGCGCCUCCAUCAGGAAGAAGUCAGCGAGCUUGGCAACAGAUGACUUAGAUGACUCUGGGUCUUACAGACGUCGGGAACCCCACAUGGCCUCUGCCUCCUGCCCCACUCAGCACCGCUGCUCCCUGAAGAUGUACCGCUUGCCUUUGGCACACAAGCUGCCCAGGCUGCUCAUAUUCACAGUAGGCAGACUGCUUGGCGCUGCAGAGCACUGUAGUUUUCAAGGCCCAGUCUCAGUCCUGACUCCAUCUGUCCCUCCUCAGCAGGCCAGGGAGGGGAAGAAGGCUGCUCAAGGUCCCGCACGAUGAGAGCUCAUCCCUUGGUGCUUCCAGUCUCUAAACCACACCCCUUUCUUCGGUGCCCCUUCACCAGACUCCUGUCAGACUCCCCGUUUUUGCUCAAUCACUGGCUGCCCCCACACCAUCCCUGCUGCCCCUCAUGUGGGGAAGUAGGUGGGUGGGCAAUAAGAAUACAGCCACAAAGCCACAGGAUGAAAAGAAACCAAAAUCCUUUUUUUUUUUUUUUUUUAAUAAAUUUAAGAACAAUCCCAAAAAAAAAAAAAAAAAAAA
rnacentral:lncRNA from 1 species